UUCCUUCGGCUUCCCGCAGUUUACGAUUGGAAACUCUACGAAAAUCGCAUGAGACUUGGCGGGAAAGAAAUCGACUGCAGCCGGCAUGGACGUACAAUGGAAGGUUGCAGGACUACCUGUAUCAGGUCAAGGACAUGUCACGCCAUUACCUGGAACAGAAAGAGACGUGUCUGUAACAUAUUCAAGUCCGCCAUUGGGACGUUGAAGGCUGAUAGGAAUGUCAAUUACUGGGUCCGCGUUGGAGUGGUUGUUCCACGUCAUCCCGUCUGUUCAUAUACCUACCAAAACGCAGAUUGCCCAGGACACGAUAUCCAUCACACCAAGCUGAGCAGACCAGCUUGCCGGGCGGCAUGUACCUGGAGGGCGGACUGCAAAUCGUUCCAGCAGCGGGGUCGAAACUGUUGGCUAAAGGACCACGUGUGCACAAAGAAACAGCUACGCCGCGUUGGGCGUCGUCACUUUGCUCAAUUUACUAAGCAUUGUUCAG